rnacentral:rRNA from 1 species
UACAGAGGUGGCAAGCGUUGUUCGGAAUUACUGGGCGUAAAGGGCGCGUAGGCGGUUCGUCAAGUCCUGUGUGAAAUCCCCCGGCUCAACUGGGGAACUGCACAGGAAACUAGCGGGCUUGAGUUCGGGAGAGGGAAGCGGAAUUCCGGGUGUAGCGGUGAAAUGCGUAGAUAUCCGGAGGAACACCGGUGGCGAAGGCAGCUCUCUGGGACGGUACUGACGCUGAGACGCGAAAGCGUGGGGAGCGAACAGG